rnacentral:rRNA from 1 species
UUAGAGUUUGAUCAUGGCUCAGGACGAACGCUGGCGGCGUGCCUAAUACAUGCAAGUCGAACGCGUCCCGGUUAAUGAAGUUGAGUGCUUGCACUUGAUUGAUUUAACUUGGUGACGAGUGGCGAACUGGUGAGUAACACGUGGGUAACCUGCCCCGAAGCGGGGGAUAACAUUUGGAAACAGGUGCUAAUACCGCAUAACAACCAAAACCACCUGGUUUUGGUUUGAAAGACGGCUUCGGCUGUCACUUCGGGAUGGACCCGCGGCGUAUUAGCUAGUCGGUGAGGUAACGGCUCACCAAGGCGAUGAUACGUAGCCGACCUGAGAGGGUAAUCGGCCACAUUGGGACUGAGACACGGCCCAAACUCCUACGGGAGGCAGCAGCAGGGAAUCUUCCACAAUGGACGCAAGUCUGAUGGAGCAACGCCGCGUGAGUGAUGAAGGGUUUCGGCUCGUAAAACUCUGUUGUUGGAGAAGAACGGGUGUCAGAGUAACUGUUGACAUCGUGACGGUAUCCAACCAGAAAGCCACGGCUAACUACGUGCCAGCAGCCGCGGUAAUACGUAGGUGGCAAGCGUUGUCCGGAUUUAUUGGGCGUAAAGCGAGCGCAGGCGGUUUUUUAGGUCUGAUGUGAAAGCCUUCGGCUUAACCGGAGAAGUGCAUCGGAAACCGGGAGACUUGAGUGCAGAAGAGGACAGUGGAACUCCAUGUGUAGCGGUGAAAUGCGUAGAUAUAUGGAAGAACACCAGUGGCGAAGGCGGCUGUCUGGUCUGCAACUGACGCUGAGGCUCGAAAGCAUGGGUAGCGAACAGGAUUAGAUACCCCGGUAGUUCAUGCCGUAAACGAUGAGUGCUAAGUGUUGGAGGGUUUCCGCCCUUCAGUGCUGCAGCUAACGCAUUAAGCACUCCGCCUGGGGAGUACGACCGCAAGGUUGAAACUCAANAGGAAUUGACGGGGGCCCGCACAAGCGGUGGAGCAUGUGGUUUAAUUCGAUGCUACGCGAAGAACCUUACCAGGUCUUGACAUCUUCUGCUAACCUAAGAGAUUAGGCGUUCCCUUCGGGGACGGAAUGACAGGGGGUGCAUGGUUGUCGUCAGCUCCUGGUCUGAGAUGUUGG